GACGUAGGGGACGAGCGUUGUCCGGAUUCAUUGGGCGUAAAGCGCGCGUAGGCGGCUCGGAAAGUCGGUUGUGAAAACCCGGGGCUCAACCCCGGGCCUGCGUCCGAUACUUCCGGGCUUGAGGCAGGUAGGGGAGAUCGGAAUUCCCGGUGUAGCGGUGAAAUGCGCAGAUAUCGGGAGGAACACCGGUGGCGAAGGCGGAUCUCUGGGCCUGUCCUGACGCUCAGGCGCGAAAGCUAGGGGAGCGAACAGG
rnacentral:rRNA from 1 species